GUCUAAUCAGGCACAGUAAGUGAAAACACCUGCGUGAGUGUAGCCGAGGUUUUGUUGGGCCUUCAAGCCAUCGAGCAAGUGACUUUGCCACCAUAACCUGAACCACCAAAGCCGCUGCCACCAAAGCCGCUGCCACCGUAGCCGAAUCCGCCGCCGGAGCUUGAGCUGGUGAAUCCUGGAGCAGAGAGGGGAAAAAAACAGCAGUUUCCUGUAGGUGGCGAUUUCAAUGUCCAGGGCCAGCUUGACGUUCAUCAGUUCCUGGUAUUCGCGCACCUGGCGGGCCAUGUCC